AUUGAACGCUGGCGGCAGGCCUAACACAUGCAAGUCGAACGAGUGGCGGACGGGUGAGCAAUGUCUGGGAAACUGCCUGAUGGAGGGGGAUAAGUACUGGAAACGGUAGCUAAUACCGCAAACGAUCAGAUGUGCCCAGAUGGGAUUAGCUAGUUGGUGGGGUAACGGCUCACCAAGGCGACGAUCCCUAGCUGGUCUGAGAGGAUGACCGGCCACACUGGGACUGAGACACGGUCCAGACUCCUACGGGAGGCAGCAGUGGGGAAUAUUGCGCAAUGGGCGCAAGCCUGAUUCAGCCAUGCCGCGUGUAUGAAGAAGGCCUUCGGGUUGUAAAGUACUUUCAGCAGGGAGGCGUUACCCGCAGAAGAAGCCCCGGCUAACUCCGUGCCAGCCGCCGCGGUAAUUC
rnacentral:rRNA from 1 species